CCCAAAACUCGAGUCUAAAUAUUUUAUUUGGACAUUUUAUUAGGUUGGCAUGAGUAAGUAGGAUUUAUUGGUCAAGUGGGUUAUUUCACUAACAACCAAGUUAUCUAACUUGGUUAGAUAGUGUUGGCUAUAGAUUGAGAGUGGAAAACAAUGGGGCCAACUAUGUUUAAUUUACAAUCAUAAGGGACUAAUGUGGGUUAAAAGGAAAGUUGGGAUAUUAUAAGAAAAUAACAACACAUACAAACACACAUUCGUGUGUGUUCUACGUCGACCAGAAGCUCCCAAAGGAGCCAAACCCUAGCUCAAGCUUAUUUGCUCAAAUUGAAAGGGGAAUUCAACCCAAAUCUAAUGCAUGUACCCGAAUUCUUAGUCAUCUAGCCCUAAAGAUCACUUGAAUAGGAACCACACUAGCAUGGACCAAGCAUGGAAGGCUAACGGGUCAAGAUGAGGCAAGCAAGCGGGUAUGAACACAGAUGCACAAGGUGCGUAUGAUCAGACGUAUGGAUAUAUGAAUGCACGAAGUAGGAUUUAUCGUCUAUGAAAAGAAUGGGACAGGUAUGAAUGUAUACAUGGUUUCAAUACAUUUGAGUAUGGACAUUACUAAUGAUGUGCUUGAGAUGGAAAUGUAAUGCAGGAAUGAGAACGUCAGACUCUUGUAGAAUUGAAGCCAAACCUUGAAGCCGAACUCGGAACAAAGGAAUCCGAGAGGAUAGUCGAAUGAAUCAAAGUUUAUGUUGUCGAAUGUUAUAUGAUUUAUAAUUUGUAUCAGAUUAUUGUUGUAUGACGUUGUCAAUGACUAAUGGUUAAGUUGUAUGUGGCGUCCACAGGUACUACACGGAUUUCUUCUACUGCUAAGGAAGUGAAGCGGACGUAGAUCGAGUCAAGAGCAAGGAUUGUACGGAUAGAUCGGUCACAUAGUUGAAGUAUAUAAUGUCUAGAAAUCUAAAUUUUAGUAUGAAUGUUGUGAAUUCUUUUAUAGAACGUUUAACAUUUUUAGAAUUUGGAACCUUCGUGAAAGUAAUGUCGUUAAUAAGGAAAGAAAUUUUAAAGCUCUUUUUCCGCUGCGCCA